rnacentral:rRNA from 1 species
GGCAGGUUGAAGGUUGGGUAACACUAACUGGAGGACCGAACCGACUAAUGUUGAAAAAUUAGCGGAUGACUUGUGGCUGGGGGUGAAAGGCCAAUCAAACCGGGAGAUAGCUGGUUCUCCCCGAAAGCUAUUUAGGUAGCGCCUCGUGAAUUCAUCUCCGGGGGUAGAGCACUGUUUCGGCAAGGGGGUCAUCCCGACUUACCAACCCGAUGCAAACUGCGAAUACCGGAGAAUGUUAUCACGGGAGACACACGGCGGGUGCUAACGUCCGUCGUGAAGAGGGAAACAACCCAGACCGCCAGCUAAGGUCCCAAAGUCAUGGUUAAGUGGGAAACGAUGUGGGAAGGCCCAGACAGCCAGGAUGUUGGCUUAGAAGCAGCCAUCAUUUAAAGAAAGCGUAAUAGCUCACUGGUCGAGUCGGCCUGCGCGGAAGAUGUAACGGGGCUAAACCAUGCACCGAAGCUGCGGCAGCGACACUGUGUGUUGUUGGGUAGGGGAGCGU